CGAUAUUUUAUAAGUUUAUGAAAGAUACCAUUGAAACUGUGAGCCGUUUCGAACUAUGAUUUAACUAAUAUGUACUAAAUAAUAUGAAAUACGCCAGGUAAGUAUUGGAGCAAAGCUGUAACAAGUUACAUAUUACGACGUGGCGAUUUCCCCCUUGUAAAGGCGGGUGGCCAAAUAAUUCCCCUCUACCUAAGGGUAGUGCGGUAACUUAAAACCUCAAAAAAAAAAAAAAAAUAAUAAUAUGAAUGAAACUGUAGAUGAAGAGAUCUUCAUUGCAAACAUCUGAGCCUCGACCGUAUCAACGACGUUGCGCACCACUCUCCCACACCUACACGAUAGCUUGAUUCAGUACGCAGCGGCUUGUGCCGGCUUCUUUAUAUACAGGAUGUUUCUGUCUGGAACGAAUUGAAUAUCUCACUCCACAUGAAGCGUGUGACAAAUUUCUACACUAAGUCCUACCUAUUGUGAACACAUAUAAAUUGCCAACAAAGGUCAAAAAGCGCCUGAGGCUGCUGGAUCUGCAUCCGUGCUUUCGUCUCAUCGAGCAGGGCUAUCAGUACGUGCCCAAUGCCGAGCUCUCCACGUGCUUCGUGCUGAAGGCGAAUCGGGACUUUCGCCUGGCCAGCGCGUUACCAACGGUAAAUAGAGGGCCCAAGGCACAACUAUUACAACAAAUUUUAAUUGUAUUCACAUUCACUCCACUCCUAGUCUACCGACUCUGCGCAGGCCUCCGACUCCCACACGGUGCUCAUUAAUGACGCGGCAAUUAAGCAGAAACUCAGUGUUGGCUACUAAUUCAAGAUCUCCCCUGAGACUGCCAGCCUGUUCUCGGCCAUAGUCUUCAAUGACAUGGAGUUAUCAAUUGGACAGCGGCACGAUUUGGCCGAGAUCCAUCGCCGCUUGCAGCAGGUAAAGCAAUCCUUUGAAGACACCGCCAGAGUCUUGCCAUUCCGCAGGAAUACACAUAACGUGGUCUACGACAUGGAUAUCUUUGUCAAUCUAAGAACGAAAUGAUGCAAGGAAAUUAACAGAAACUAUCACUAAUAGACAGAUUAGACAUUUAGGAUUUUUGUUGUCUUUGCAAGUAGAACGAUUGACGAGACCUAAAUUAUAUUAGACAUAAUAUAUAAUUACAUUAUAAAUUAUAAAUUCGAAAAUGUCUCAUCAAUAAGUGCUUGAGGGUGAAUGAGAACUGGAAGCCAAGUCCAUCAAAAUUUGGCGACUUCUUUUCAACGACCACAGCACGAUUGCUAUACACGUCAAAGUCAUCGGUCAUG
rnacentral:lncRNA from 1 species